rnacentral:rRNA from 1 species
UACAGAGGGGGCAAGCGUUGUUCGGAAUUACUGGGCGUAAAGGGCGCGUAGGCGGCCUGUUAAGUCGAACGUGAAAUCCCCGGGCUCAACCCGGGAACUGCGUCCGAAACUGGCAGGCUUGAAUCCGGGAGAGGGAUGUGGAAUUCCAGGUGUAGCGGUGAAAUGCGUAGAUAUCGGAAGGAACAUCAGUGGCGAAAGCGACUUCCUGGACCAGUACCGACGUUCAGGCACGAAAGCGUGGGGAGCAAACAGG